rnacentral:rRNA from 1 species
GUAAGGAAUAUUGGUCAAUGGGCGGAAGCCUGAACCAGCCAUGCCGCGUGCAGGACGAAGGCCCUACGGGUCGUAAACUGCUUUUGUACGGGAAGCACGUGCGCUAUGUAUAGCGUAUUGACGGUACCGUACGAAUAAGCAUCGGCUAACUCCGUGCCAGCAGCCGCGGUAAUACGGAGGAUGCGAGCGUUAUCCGGAUUCAUUGGGUUUAAAGGGUGCGUAGGCGGCCCGGUAAGUCAGCGGUGAAAGUUUGCGGCUCAACCGUAAAAUUGCCGUUGAUACUGUCGGGCUUGAGUUCAGAUGAAGUGGGCGGAAUGAGUAGUGUAGCGGUGAAAUGCUUAGAUAUUACUCAGAACACCGAUUGCGAAGGCAGCCCACUAAACUGCGACUGACGCUGAUGCACGAAAGCGUGGGGAUCGAACAGGAUUAGAAACCCGUGUAGUCC